CAGCAGCCGCGGGAAUACAGAGGGUGCGAGCGUUAAUCGGAUUUACUGGGCGUAAAGCGUGCGUAGGCGGCUUUUUAAGUCGGAUGUGAAAUCCCUGAGCUUAACUUAGGAAUUGCAUUCGAUACUGGGAAGCUAGAGUAUGGGAGAGGAUGGUAGAAUUCCAGGUGUAGCGGUGAAAUGCGUAGAGAUCUGGAGGAAUACCGAUGGCGAAGGCAGCCAUCUGGCCUAAUACUGACGCUGAGGUACGAAAGCAUGGGGAGCAAACAGGAUUAGAGACCCCGGUAGUCCCUGUCUCUUAUCA
rnacentral:rRNA from 1 species